CUUUCCUCAUACAAGUGGUAAUGUAAGCCAAGAGAGGGCUGCCAGUCGCAAGGAUUAUGAGACACAUGCUCCCGCAGGCGAUUCUUGCUUGUGCGAUUGACGAUGAAUCGAUAAUACUAUAAUGAGCAAUCACCAUGUAGUCGAUUUUACAGACGAUGGCAACAAGGUGAAUGAACAGGUUACUGCCAUACCGGAGGAUGGGCGGAAAUUUUUAAGGUGAUCUUUUGGUUGGUGCAGAUGGCAAGGUACCAUGUGUUCCUUGAUCACAAACAAUAUUUCGUCCCCUCAGAUGUUGGUGGUGGUAAAAUGCAGUGGUACACAUCUCAAAAGGAACCAGCUGGUGGUACCGAUUCUGAAAAUGAUGAG